rnacentral:rRNA from 1 species
UACGGAGGGUGCAAGCGUUAUCCGGAUUUACUGGGUUUAAAGGGUGUGUAGGCGGGCUUUUAAGUCAGUGGUGAAAUCUCCGGGCUCAGCCUGGAAACUGCCAUUGAUACUAUUAGUCUUGAAUUUUGUUGAGGUAGGCGGAAUAAGUCAUGUAGCGGUGAAAUGCAUAGAUAUGACUUAGAACACCAAUUGCGAAGGCAGCUUGCUAAACAAAUAUUGGCGCUGAGGCACGAAAGCGUGGGGAUCAAACAGG